GUUUUUCUGAGUUUCUCUUCGGAUCAGAUCAGUUCCUGGUUUCUGCUGCCUCUCGUCUCACCUGUCAGGUAGCGUCCCACCAGACUUCUGUUGAAAUCAGCGCACCUGCAGCUCAUUUGGUGAUGAACUCUCAGUGGAACUCUGUAAGCUUCUGAGCUCUGCUGUGUGGACUUUUACAGAAAGAUUAUUCUUCCAACGUUUGAAAAAGAAAAAGAUGGUUGGAUAGAACCGGAGACAGAUCCACGGAUCCUUGGACCAGAUGUUUGAAACCUCCACUGGUCCAGCUGUCUUCACCCUCUUCAAAUGUGACCGUCAGAGAMACGAGUCAGUCAAAUCAUCAGUGGUCGGUGACGAGGCUCGUGUUCAGCAGACUGUUUGUAAUGUCACUGAUGUAUUUAAAGAAGAUCCAGACCACGGGACGGUCCAGAGACCAGCAGGGUCGGAGCUGACUCAGUCUCCAACUGGAUCUGUGGUUUUACUGUAAGUUCCCCAAACUAAAGUAUUUUUAUUAUUAACUGUAGAAMCUUUCCAUCAUAUCACCAGAACAAAUAUGUAUAAAAAAUCUGAUUUUUAAAUUUUAGACAUGUUCUUUAAUGCUGCAAGACAACAAAACUCUUUGUGCUCAUCUUAUUUAAACACAUUCAGACAGGUUUAAAUGACCAAUCAUUAUUUUAUACUGUUUACAUGUUUUAUUCUAGUCAAAGAC